AACGCGAAGAACCUUACCAAGGCUUGACAUAUACCGGAAACGGCUAGAGAUAGUCGCCCCCUUGUGGUCGGUAUACAGGUGGUGCAUGGCUGUCGUCAGCUCGUGUCGUGAGAUGUUGGGUUAAGUCCCGCAACGAGCGCAACCCUUGUUCUGUGUUGCCAGCAUGCCCUUCGGGGUGAUGGGGACUCACAGGAGACUGCCGGGGUCAACUCGGAGGAAGGUGGGGACGACGUCAAGUCAUCAUGCCCCUUAUGUCUUGGGCUGCACACGUGCUACAAUGGCCGGUACAAAGAGCUGCGAUGCCGUGAGGCGGAGCGAAUCUCAAAAAGCCGGUCUCAGUUCGGAUUGGGGUCUGCAACUCGACCCCAUGAAGUCGGAGUUGCUAGUAAUCGCAGAUCAGCAUUGCUGCGGUGAAUACGUUCCCGGGCCUUGUACACACCGUACGUC
rnacentral:rRNA from 1 species